AUUCCAUGAUGUGGACACUUUCUAAUAAAAUCCUUGAAUCUCUCCCAUGCAUCAUACAAAUAUUCACCCUCCAACUGGUAGAAAUUAUUGAUCUCUCCUUUCAACUU